CCUGACUCGGCUGCAUCCAAGCAGCAGCCAGAGGAAUGAUCUCUGAUUCAGUUCUCACCAAACCUUCCUGCUGGGCAUGGUAGUUCUGUCUCAGAAAAGUGGAAGAGGUGCUUGGCAUUUAUCAUGGCUACACUGUGAGAAACGGCAAUGGAACGCCAAACCACAGCUGAACAGGAUACUAUGUAACAAAGCAACCCUACCUCAGAGGAGUUGGUCUGCAAGGAAGAGGCAAGGGUGGUGGUCUCCUGUAUUCCAUACUUGUUUCCAGAAAAUCCAGAGUUUUCAACAUGCAAACAAAGGAAUUCCAGAAUGAAAGUAUCCUGCCUAUGAUAGUUCCUCUGAGAUGUUACUGAAUUACAAGGUCUGAGAAAUCCUGACCACUAGCUAACAGAUCCCUAAGAAGAGCAUCAAGACACAAAGGGAUGUGUUCCUCGCUCUUCUGUGAAAAGAAAGCUAAGUAUGCAAGAGUCAGCCAGAGAUCUACUGACUUCAGCUCAAACAAGUUCUGCCUGUGGCCCUCAAAGGAAGGAAACUGCCAACACAACAUACAUGUGCAUCCAGAAAUCUCAAAAUCAGCAAAAGGAUGCACACAUACCUACUUCUCGCUUUGGCAGUUGAAAAGAAAGGCUUGAAAAUGUGAGCUACGUGAGCCUGAAGGCAGCUGAAAUGCAGCUUUGAGAUGUGCAGCAGGUUUCCCAGGGAAGAUGCUAACAUGCCCAUUGUCUGCUAAGUGGACACAGGGAGAUGCUUGGCUGGUUCCUGACUUGCAGGAUAAAUACACAUUGAGAUGAAACUGUCCUCUUGCCAGAAUAACCGCCAGACAAAGCAAAAGAAAAUGAAGAUUUCUGUCUUGGGAAUUGGACCUUCAGAGUCUUCUGGUACAAGUCAGUGAGAUGUGAGAGACUGCAUUGUUCAGGUGUUCGAGUUCAGUUCUACAAAUGAGCUUCUGGGGCUGCGUUUGAGCCGAACCUCUGUGCCAGACUCUUCAGACUGGUGAUACCUGUGGAUUAUAUAGACGUUCACAUUCCGGUGUUUAUAGUGGAAUCAGUAUGGAAGAACAGACUUCUAACCUGGUGUAUUGGUCUGUCUUAUGUUGAAGCAUUUAUGUUAAAAUGGGAAGGGAACAUGUUGCUCCUGUCUGGUCUUGGCAUUUCUGAAGUCAGUGAGGGCCUGAGGUUUGCACACAAGACAGUGGCCAGUCAUGAGGCUGUUCCUCUGUUAUGGGGUGUGUUUGACAUCACGGGAAUGGAGAGCUUGGGUGUUUGUGGUUUUGCCAUGUUUGCUGUGUAAUGUGCUUAUAGCAUUACUGUUACUGUUUAAUAGUACAGGUGUCCUUGAUGCAAUCUCUUGGACCAUGUUUUCACAAAACCACAGCACGGCUGAGGCUGGCAGGGCCCUCUGGGUCCGUCAGGCCCAACCAUGGCUCCAGCAGGGACAGCCAGAGAAGGAGCCCAACGCCAUGUCCAGGCAGUUUCUGUAGGUCUCCAAAGAGGAGAUGCCACAGCCUGUCUGGGCAGCCUGUGCCACGGUCUGUCCCCCACAGCUCAGAAGUGCCUGAGGUACUUGUGGCCGAACCCACACUGUGGCAUGAAGCUGGCUCAAGGCAUGUGCUCUCUGCUGUCCUACACUUUGCUGGAGGAGGGGAGGAACUUGGAGCUGUGUGUGUGUGAGCAUCAGGACGGUCAUACAGGCUAGGAGGAUGGCACACGAGAAGCCGAAACUCCCCAUCUCAGGUGGCAGAAGCAAACAUGGUGCAGACAGGACACCUCAGUCUUCCACCCGCUGCCUGCUGGGUAGCACUGGGAUGAGCCAGUAGCGUAGGUGUAAGGGAGUGGGAUGAAUGUACUUCUUUGCACUUGUCUGCCAGAAUAAAAUAAAAACGCAUUCAAGAAAUUUCAGAAAUAGAUAUAAAUAUUUCAGGAGGUGCCAAAUUUAAGAUCUUCAAGUGAUACUUCAAAAAGUUGUUGGGCCUUUUGAGAAAAUCCCUUUAAAUGGAAGAAUUACAGAAGCAGCAAAUUACAUCCCCUCAUCUCUUCUCUAUUUGCAGCAGGGUUUAGAACUAAAUGUCAUAUUUUAGCUGCAUGCUUCAUGUUUGCUUCUACAAGAACAGACAAUUUAAAUGUCAGUUAUUAUAGCUUGUCAAUAAAUUUCAGAAUCUAAGCAAAUCUGGCAAAUGUGACUGACAGCUACAAAUUAAUUUAGCUUUGUUAAAUAACCAGCCUGCACUGCACUGCCAUUGCUGACAUGCAUCAUGGUAUAACACUAGUAAUUCAGAGUGCGAGCUAUUGCCUUAUCGUGAAAUACAAAUUAUGCAGAUUUUACUCCUCUCCUAAGAAGAGAGAAUUCUUUGAGGCUGUGAUGCUCUUUCGGAGAGUAAUCAGUAAUCCAAAAUGCUCUGUGGUUGUAUACUUAAUAGAGUAAUGGUGUGGUUUAAAAUAAAGCAGGCUGUCAUCAGUGCAUAAAAUCAUAACCACUAGUGUGGAUGGUAAAAAUUGCUAUUUGCUGCUUAGAAAGAAAAGAAAUAUUGUGCAAAUGAAGGCCCUCACAAAGGUAAAAGUCAGUCAAAAGCCAGCAGGAACUACCACCAGGUAACCAGAACUUUAAAACAUAAGUAAUUUAUUAAAGUACUUUAAUAAAUUCACAGUAGACUAAAUACAGGUGUGUGUGAAAAAUGCUAGGCUAUAUCCGCACCAGGGCAUUGUACCUGAAAAUAAUAUUAAUGCUGCUCUUCCAGGUUAGAAUUACCAGAUGCUUUUGUUAUAGAGUAUGUGAUGCACAGGUGUUUUGACAGGAGUAUUAUGUAAAAAAAAAAAGUAGAAAAAGAGAAUCUGUGCAAGCAGUUGUUGUACUCAGAGCAGGUGGCUGAACAGAGAUGAUCUAGAAAUUCCCAAUUUUCUUCUUCUACUAAUGUUGUUAGUGAGCUGCAUUGGGUCAUCACCAUUAGCAGGUACACAAGGAAAAAUAUGUGUUCCUUGCCUUGUCAUGAAUCAGUGUUCAAGACCCCCCCCCCAUUCCAAGGGCAGCAAGUUGUAGUCCUGAUGGAGUAGGUCUCACUCAUCUUCCGCAAGGCUUGCUGUGAACCCAGCAAUCGGGGCGUCCAGGGCCCCGUUCCCAGCGUGGAACGCUGUAUGGGGGUGCUGUUGCAGCUCAUAAGGAGUUGUUCUACCCCUGCUGAAGAUGUAUUGGAGAUGUGUGCUUAGCCAUGUGUAUAUGAUUAACAUUCGUGCUGUCCUUACCUUGUUGCAAUUGCAGGGUUUGGGUUGGGCUUUGUUGUUGUUGUUUUAAAUCUGUUUAGUUUUAAUGGUCAACAUGUACUUCCCACACAGUUAUGAGUGAUAAACGUUGGUAGCAUCUUUCAUUGUUCAAGUUCAGUCUUCAGUCUUUCCUGUUGUGCAUUUGUAUCAUGAACAUUUCCUUGAUACUGGUGGGAUGGGCUUACUAAUUAAUCACAUUGAAGAUAUGAUACAGCUAUGAAAUAUAAUUGGUUUGGGGAACCACUGACAUAAGCUGAGCUGGAGCUGCCUUGUGGCAGAGCUGAUACAAGGGCCAUUUCAACCCUUUUUUGUACGGAAAUGAAUGCUGCUGUAUGGAUUCUGCUCACAUUCAUUCACUUUUCCAGUAUUUUUGUUUGUAUUUUUCACUAUUUAACAGUGAAGAAAUCCUAGCUGGACUUAUUAUGAGAUUGUUCCACCUGCAGAGGGAUUCAGGCUGAUAUAUCUGUUCCUACGGAAAUCAUUAAGUCAUUAAUCUACAAGAAAUACAAAAAGCCUCAGUAAUCUCAACUGAGUUUUAGUCGCAAAGUUUAAUGAUGCUGGCGCAAAAUUUAGCACUAUUAAUUAUUUCAUGGAGAAAUAUAGCAACAUCUCUGUCAUUUGAAGCACUUUAACAGGAAAGUCAGCAAAAUUUUACUCGAGGGCUACAAAGGAUCAGAUAAUACUCCAAUUAACGAUUUUGUACUUCAGUGGAGUAUCUGAGUAAGUAAAUUGAGGGGCGAUGUGAUUUGUGGAUCUCAGAGGAGAAAUAAAGAUAUGGGAGAAAGAGAGAGACUGGACCAUUUUAAUAGUCAAUUUUAUUUAAAAGCAUUCAACCACAGUAUGACUGAUUUGCUCUUACAAUUCAUUUGGACUUUCAUAGGUGUUGUGAGAGCAAUAUUCUAAGGGGAGAAAAAAGCAAGGUGGUUCCAGUUUCUCUGUAUGCUCUAUCAGCCACCUCAGCACGUAUUUUAAGUAAUCUUUUCUCUUUAACACUCAUUUGGCUUAGUGUCCUUGAUUCAGACUGCCAUAGGACUGUAGCAGUCCUGGGAGCUGCCUGGUGCUGAGCUGGAGUGGAAUCUUCAGCUGUUUGUGUAAGGUCCAAAAGAGGAGAUGGUCUUUGUUUUGACAGAGGUUGCCAUGCGGCAGCCUAGGCAUCAAUGUCCAUGCAGAGAGUAAGACUCCUUGAAAGUCAGGAAGUGUUUCAGAGGCUCUGUGUGCUUGUUUAGGCUAUUUUCUCUGGCUGUAAUCUUAAUAAACUAAAGUUGUUCUAUGAAUUUCAUUCCUUUCAAAGCAAACAUUCUUGCGAUGUCUCCUGUGAUUUCAGUCGCAGGAGUCUUAUCAUGCAUUAAAUGAAUCCAUUACUGCACAAUGCAAUGUUUACCACUGAUAGUUUUGGGUUGCUGGAGCCAGUGCCUCAUUCCCCCCUCCAGCCCCUGCAAGCCCAGUGUAACUGUUUUUGAUAACCACUGUAACUAGGUGAAAAUAUUCUAAGGUUCUUCCAGUUCACAUGCCAUAAAUGCCAGACUUUUUUCCUUCCUGGGAAAACAAUCACCUGAGGAAAGAAAAAGUGUGUUGUAAAUAGAAUAUGUAAUGAAAUUGGCCUGAGUCUGAAACUUAUCAGUCUGGAACUCGUAGAUGCUGUAAAAUCAACAGGUAAUAGAUAAAAGGUCAUCCUAUUUCAUGGACAUUGCUUUGAGAUAAAAUAGCUGUUAGAGUUAAUAAUUCUCACUAUAAAUCUUACUAACAUAAAGAGCUCAGUUGUACAACUGUAGUUAUUUUUAUCUCAAUGGCCUUAAUUAUUAAUGUGAACCCUUCAAUGGAACAGAUUUUGCUCUAUCAACUGUAUGCCCAGAGUAUGGAAGGCCCCAAAUGAACACUAGGGAAAGGAGCAGGUACUAUUAUAAUACUUAAUUUGCACUAUGUACCUUUAAUUUACAAUGAAUCAAAUCUAUCAUAAUUAGACUUGCCAUCAAAUCAAAACAUUGGUAGGGACCUGAAUGAAGCACAACAGGAGUGGACUCAGAACUUGGUUUCAGCCUCAACUUACUUGGAAAAGAGCUUUCAGAUCUGGAGAAGGACUCUUUAACAAAACAUUUUUUUGUGCUUUCAAAUGGUAUGAGUUGGCCUAGUUAGAGCCACCAUCUGUCCCUGCAAAUCUGGCUUCCAGAUCAUGCUCACACAACUUGAAUCCAUCCAUUAAAUAUAAGAGUAGACUUGGACAGCCUUCUGGUCAAUAUGUCAUAUGGGCCAUAUUUAGUCUGCCUACUUUACCCAAGUUUCAAGCCUACCAUGGCCUGUUCCUCUUCUGUAGUCACAAAGCCAGCCUACGACAAAGAGGGGAGCGAUGAGCUGAGGUGGGCAGUGUUUAGCUUGACUCUGAGUGUGGUCCUGGGUGGUUUGUCAGCGUUAUGUCUAAACACAGAACAUUAUUCUGAUCUAUGGAAAGCUUGUUUUAUUUCUGUGCUGCUGUCUCGUGGAAGAACUGAAAGUUCUCCAUUUGCAUAGUGGAAAACUGAAACCCACCUCACUGACGAACUGUUGUUACUUUAUGUUACUAGGCUCCAAACAAUGAGCUUACUAGGACUAAUCAAAAAGGUAUCGUAUGUUUCCUGUAAGAUUAUACUCCUCUUCCUUGCUUGAAAAGAAAAAGGAGGGAAUUACGGGGAACACAUCAGGUAACCUCAAAGUUACUGCUUUGCUGACGGUGAUUUCACGCUGGUAUUAUCUUAUGUUUUGGUAACUGAAGAUAAACCUCCUUUCCCUCUCAGAUCAUCCGUUUCCAUCCAUAGCAUCAGAUGGGGCCUGCUGUGGGUACCAUUCCUGGGUAUCAUAUCCCAGGUCAUUUGUCCCAGAACAGUCAGACUCCUUCCCCUUUGCCUAUAUGCCCAUGAGAGAGAUGGAUUUGAGGGCUAGUGGUCGCAUAAAGCGUCUAGCCCUGAUGCAAGCUGCCCUUCCCUCCUUCCUCAUAAAAUUGCCCUAAUUCUUCAAAGAAGCAACCCUGAAACUUUACUCUAGCGUGGGAGUGCUGUACCUCUGCUUUCCAUGGCAAACUAGUGCUUUGUCACUUAGUAUUUGAUAGUCCACUUUUCACAUGAUCUAUUUUUGGAAAAAUAAUGACAUCAGGAUUCCUACCUUAGCAUGUCAUCAUAAAAUAACUUCUAGUGCAAUUAUUGAAUGCCAAGAAGGAAAUUAUUUUUAACUUACCAUGAGUUUUGUUCACAGCAUUUGGAAAUGUUAACCUUCAUAUAACAUUCUAUGCCUUCCUGCCUUUUCUUCCACCAUGGUGUCAUUUACUCAAGAGGUCCAUUUCUCACUUCUGGGCAAAUGAUUGAAGUGCAACCCUAACUGGUCUGUACAUAAAUAUGAGAAUUCUCUCUAUUCUGAUGUCUGAAUGUUCAGGUGAUGUAAAAGAUUCACAUGCUAAGCACCCCGGAGGUGGGUUUCUGAAGAACAUGAAGCGAGCAUCCAAGUAGAUCUGCUGAUCUAUAAAAAACAUUAACGCCUGCUUUCCUUCGCAUGUGUGUAUCGGGAGCUCAGGCACCCGAUAGGAUUCCCACGUGUCCUUGCUCACUUCACUCUAAGCUUUCCUGGGGAUUUAUUAAUGAAUAUUCUCUAUAAAUUCAAAAUACUUUGUGUUUGGGAGAAUGGUAAACUAUGUAAUUCAUACAAAAUAAUUCAACAGAAUUGAAUGCUACUAAAGAUGGAGAGAGUAUAUAUGGCAGAUAGUAUAUAAACUCAUAUGAUAGUAGAUGAACUUGUAGAUGGGCAUUUUGUCAGCAAUGAUUCACUGGUGUGAAGAGGUAAAUAAGGUUCUGCAUUUUAGACCUUUAAAGCUCAAGAUGGUAAGUUCUAUGCUCAUCAUUUUUUUUCAAGAAAAUUCUUGCUUUCUGACUAAAAUAACAAGGAAAAAAAAUUUACAUUACAGUAAGGUACUUACUUGAAAAGAAAAGUACCUAAAAAGACUUUGUAAUGACAAUGAAAUGAAAAAAAAAACAUCUUUUAAAACAUUCUUCACUAGCAUGCCACAUUUCUUGGUGUUUAGUUAAAAGAUGGAAAUACGUGAACUGUUAUGCUUUAUUUAGUGACAUUAGUAGAGAAGGAACUAUGGGAAGCAAAAGAGAUGUAAGAAACUAAUAGAAUUAAACUUGCAAAUUUAACAUGGAACAUCUCAAGUUUUCUCAAGUAAAGAUAAUGAAAUCUUGCUAAUCUGUUUUACAAAUUCUCAUCACAUAGGGACGAUUAUAUAAACAUUCCUUAGUAUAAAGUAGAAUUCACUACUCAUACUAAUAUGAUAGAUCUUUUAAACUAUUUGCUUCAGUGAGUGUUCCUUUAGUAUGGUUCAGGCAUCCUGAAAUCCUGCAGUGAGCUGACAAAGGUGCCUUUGAAUACUUUAAUUAUGCAUAGCCAUCUUUAUCCUAUUUAGAUUGACACUUAUCUAGAUUACAUGAUUGGUUAGCCUUUCAGAACAAGUUGACCCUCAAAUUAAAAUGUUGCCUCUUGGAAGACUACCAAUCAAAUUAAAACUACCAGUCACAUCUUAACCUCUAAAAUGAACUGGUUUUUAAGUGUUCUCUUUUAAUGAUCAGUUCCUACAAAAUAAUUUGUCAGUGGUCCACACUAAAGAAAUUCAAACUCAACUGAACCUUGAGCCCCUCCCCCAGAGCUUUCCAGACUUUAGUGCUGCGGUUUUUGUGAUCACAGAACAAAUUAUCACAAGGCUCCUCUCUAAAUUGGGUUGAUGACUGACAAGAGCUAAACAGCAAGCCUGAAAACCAGACUACUGACCUCCGCAUGAAUACUUCUAACUGUAAUGGCUAGAGCUAUUCUUUCACUGUUUAGAAAAAUCCAGCAAAUGUGUGGGAUUUUCCAACAUAAGCAUCCAGAGCCCUUUGAAAAGUUUCUAGUUUCCCAGUAUUUCUCUGCAGCAGGCACUGAGUAUACCUCCCUUGGUGGCAAGCUCCCCUACUCCUUUCAGGUUUUGCAGGUAGGAUCACUCACACUGCAGGCAGCUCCCAGAGCCCCAGCAAGCUUUGUGGCUCUUCUCUUUGCAAAGGUUAAGGUGAUCCACAGGCAGCAGCUCUUCAGCUACAAGAGGUGUUGCACUAGCAGACUCUCAUUCUGAUGGAGGAUUUUUUUUGUGGGAAAAUAACACAGCAAGCCACAAGCAAUCCAGGAGACUCCUGGAGUCCAUCAGCAAUAACUUUCUGGUUCAGGUACUGGACAGACCAGUACCAGAGGUGAAGUAUUACUGGACCUGGUGCUCACCGAUGCGGAGGAGAUCAUUAAAGAGAUUAAGGUUGGUGACAGUCUGGGCUGUGGUGACCAUGCCCUGGUUGAUUGAGUUGGUGAUCUCGGGGAACGUGGGCCUGGCAAAGAGCAGAGUCAGGAUGCUGUCCAUGGCAGGGGGUUGGAAGAACAUGAUAUUUAAGGUCCCUUCCAAACUAAGCCAUGUGGUAAGGAGGGAAUGCUGUCAUUCUUUUAAUUUUGCUCUUCUAUACAUUAACAAAAUGUGCUGAGUCCUCUAACAGUACAGAUAGCUGCAAGUAAAUACUUCAUACAUUUUUGCACUAUUUUGCAUGCCACUUUCUUACAGAUCAAAGGUGAGGUUGCCGUUGUUGUGGAAUCUUCAUCAGAACUUCCCAAACUUCCCCAAAUGAAUAUUAAAAUAAGAUUUGAGAAUGACUGAUGGAGUGAUUGACAAUGCCUUUUAUUCUGCUUCAUGCCUGCUGCCUUUAUUACCAGACUUUCCUCCGAAGAAGACAUGGGAACAGUCUUCAAAUGGUGUUUUUUUGACUGAGCUUUUCCAGCAAUAUUAUUAAACAACCAAAGCCUAUGUUACAGGCAUGGUUAAUUAGUGUACUUAGGAGGACUCAGAGAGGUCAUGGGUAAGUACAUUCCCCAGCUGUGUUUUAGUGCUCAUUGAGACUGUCUGGUAUUCCAACCAGGAAAAAAAGCUAGGGAUUUUUGGGAACUAUUUUUCCUGUUACUCCAAUUUCUAUCGCCUUCUGAACUGUAUUACUACAAUCACAGUGCUUUUGAGAUUUAAGUACAUUACAGUUAGUAUGUAACAUCUACACUACUGCAAAUAGGUAUUGCAUUUUCAACAUGAACUUAGCCGCAACUAUUUCAAUAUUUUCAACACACACAGGCAUAGGCUGAAACAUGACUAAGUUCCUGGAGAUGCUUCAUAUUUUAAACGGACCAGUUUCCUUGUGUCUCAUGCUUGAGCAUAUUAUGCACAGGCUUUAUGAGCAAGUGCUUAGCCAAAUGUUGAAAGCACAAGCAAACCCUGGUUGGUGGGAUUAUUCUUACGACUUCAAACUCAACUGAAGCAAUGUUUUACAUGUGAGCAAAAUCUAACCAGGGUGUGAUUACCUGGAAAUAUAUCUUCAUAUGCAAGUGAAACCAGAAUAACACUUAGUGCAUGAGGAAGCAGCAUGUUAACAUCAUUAAAUACAGCAAUCAAAAAAAUCAAGGUUAUAUAUCAUUUUUUAGUAGACUCAGAAAAAAAAAAAAAAACAACCUCAAAAACCCAGUAGUACAAUGGCCUAAAUGCAGAAGUACAGCUAAAAAAAAUUUCCCUCCUCACUUACUGAGUUACUCUGAGGCUUUGGUAUCUCUCUUAGCAAUACUGAUUUCUGCUUCUUGCACAUUAAGUAGAAAAUUCUGCUGGUUCUUUUUUGCCUUGAGGUUUCUGUCAAUAGCUGAAUUUCACCAAGAAGCUGCUGCUUUGGAAAAAUCUUUUUAUGGAAGGAAGCAAAGAAAUGGCAAACAGGAGAACAGGUGUCAACUUGUUUUAGGGCUUCAUGUUUUUGAGGAUCUUCUCCCUUUUUGGCUCAAUUUGAUUUUCCAUCUCAUUAGAAUUUCUGUGCAGCUCUGGAAACACAUCAGCAUUUGAAAGACUGCUGAGUAGAAAGCUCUUGCCAAUAGUUUUGAGUAUAUAAGUUCUUUCUUCUGUUUCCAAGUAAUCCUCGGCAGAGUACUCCUCCCUCUUCUUUAUACAAUCUCUUCUUUUCUCCUGGUCAUCACAAAUGAUAAUGCUGACCUCCUCUAAAGCUUCCCUUGCUGGCUCAUCUUAACGAUUUUUAAAGUCCAAAAACUGAAAUUGCUUUCAAAAGCUCUUAACUGGUUUGUCCUGGCUUAGCACAUGACUUGUAGUAUUUUCCGAGGUUUUGUCUGGUUGUUUGCUUAAUCCUCCCAUAACUGUUUCAUUGAGCUAGGACACUUUACAUGAAGGGUUGCAAAAAUGACACCAUGACACUCCACGCUUCUGUGUUUGGCAAAAAACCAUCCGUCUAGAGUCUCCGGAGGAUCGCAACUCAGCCACUUCAAGGAAGGGGUCUUUUUGUGAUUUAACCUCUUGAUGCUACAGAGGAUCUAUAGAUAGAUGUGCAUUCUCUCUAGCUCAUGGUAAGUGAAGCACAAUACUCUGUGGAGAAAAAUCUAUGAUUCCCUCACUCCCUUCGCUAGCACGCACAUGGACACACUGUUUUAAACACACUUCUAUUUUUCUACAACUUUUACUGCUACAGUAUGCAAGCAGAAUAAAAAUUAAAAAGGUAUUAGAUGACAUUAAUGUGGUCCACAAAGCAACUGCUUUUGGAACAUCAUACUUAGGGGAAUUAUUGUUCCAUAAUUAUUUGCAAAAUUGUCUGAUUCCAUUAUGACCUUUUCCCUUUUAUUGUUUGUUUGCUGUUUACCCAAAUUUAUAUAACUGAAUUUUCCCUUGUAUUACAAUAUGCUGAGCAAACUUCUUCAGCGCCUGCAUGAUUUUAUUUUUUAUUGAUGUCUCCUGGAGUGCUGAGCCUCUGGACUGAGGGUACCUUGCAAAUGUGAAUCUCAAAGGACUUAACCUGUUAAAGUUUAGAGUUACCAAACAACAUUUAGCUUCGUAUGCAUAAGGGUAGUUAUUGCUGUUGGUUCCUAAAUUAAGUUUCAGCUUGCCUCUAGUUGUUUGGAAACUCCACCUUCUUAAAAAUCAGUAGUUUUAGUGAGACUCUUGAAGUUCUUUGCUAAGUUCUUUACUGCAGGAAAUUCAUUUCUCCAUCCACAUAUUUGAGAAAAGGUGAAUGCUGUCUGGAAAGAAACAAUUGAUACUUGAGACACAAUCCUGAAAGCAGCCAAGUCUGGGAGCAAAGGUUAUGGCUUGGAGUUAGCCUUGAUUCAUUCUGUGCUUCGAGGAGCAGAGGUGACCUUAUAAAUCCCAGUCCUUGGGGAACAGAGGAGUGCUACAACUCUGUGGUCAAUGCCCCUACUAACAGCUGAUGAGCUUCUGGGUUUAUGCAGUUUUAGUUCACGUGCCUAAAAAAAUAUGUUUCAUCAGACGCCCUCUCAACCAAUCUCAAAAUACAGUCAGUGAGAAAAUAGAUUUCAAGUGUAUUUCUGUGUCCUUGCACAACAACCAUCAGGUCUUUUAGGAAAACAGUUUCAGAAAUACCUGCCUCUUUCUGUGGGGAAGCUGCAGGCUCCGUGGGAAUCUGAGAAAUGACGUCUUCGGGGAUUCUUUUUUCUUCAUGCUGGAAACGUCAAAGUUAAGGUUUGGAUAAUCUUGUAAGUGCAUGCUUUGGAAGUAAUUUUCCGAAUUAAUUUUCCAAAUUUCCUUUAUGUACAGAGAUAGGUAAGGUUAAAGGCAUUUGCCACUGUCCUUCAUGGAGAAACUGCUAGAGCUGUUACAGUCUCUUCUGUGGUUUCUCUCUAUAUCACGGUUAACGUUAAAGAUGUAUUCCUAACAGAAGCUGAAAAACAGCCAAGUUUAAUUUCUCUGCUUAAUGUAGAAAAUUGCUCAUUAUUUUUAUUAAUAGCAGUUUAGACUUGCUAAGGUCACAUUCUCUAGCUAAGCUAGGUUUAAAUAUAUACAAUCACCUAUAUUUGAGGUUGAUACCAAACAAUGUUUUAAAUGUAACAAGUGUUUCUAGUUCAGAAUCCACACAGGGUUUAGGCCCAAGCUGUGGCUGGUUUCUGGCAGCUGGCAGCUGGCCUGCGUUACUGUCACCUGCAGGACCAGUGUCUUUACGUGGGGGAUCCCAGGAGAUGGGUCUGUUUGGUCAAUGUAGCUUAUAGAGGCAACUACUUGCUAAUAGUUGUUGAACUGCGGGCUGCAGACUUUGGUGAGCUAUGUUUAAAAGGAAGGCCACCAUUUAGGGAUCACGUGUUCAGUGGGCUCCGCUUAAUGCUUGAGGCUAAUGGAAGCCAUUUGAUUGAGGAGGACUUGUCGUGGUGAUGGUCCAUCGUUAUGGAAGUGGGCUUUUGAGAUCCGUGGAAAAAAAAAAAAAAAUCAGGUUUGAAAACAGAAACACCAACUGACAAACAAGUUCCAGUCAGUUAUAGGUAUUGCUCUAUUACAUUUGACAUCCUUGGAGAGAAAAGUACAUUACAGCAUUUUUUUAUUGAAAAGCUUUAUAGACUUUACUUUUCAAAACCUUCCACGUAGUCUACCAGGCUGCAAUUCAUCAAGAAAUACAUUUGAUGUUAGUCCGAGAGGCACUUUUAUAACUUGUCCUUUCUCUGGGAACAUAACUGAACAUAAAGCAAAGUAUCCAAUUGCUAAUAGGUUGAUAGGAUAAAGGGGUUUGAUGAUGAUAACAGAAAUAAUCCUGAAAGGCAACUUUGCCAAAUGUCUGGGGACAAUGCAGCUGCUCGGGGUGCUGAGUUGAUGAGCUGUUGAUAGUAGCAGGAAAACAGGCUAUCUCCCUCACUUUCCCACUGACUGACUUACACUCUGCAUCUGACCAGCAGCAGAAAAUCCAUUUGUACUGGAAGGAAAAGGGAGCACAAGGGCAUAACAAGGAGUUGUGAUACCAGCUGUGCAUCGAGUCGGCAAGCCUCCCCAGCAGCCUCCACUUGACAUGAAAUCAUCUGCCAUGCCUUGAUGGACAUCUGGGAGGAGAGAGAGGUCCGAGAGAGGCUGCCUAUGAACUCAGGCAGCAGUAUAUGAAGAUGAGAAAUGUAUAAACGGCAAUGAUGCUGGAGGUCUGUGUCCCUAGUCAAACAGAUACAAGGCCAAGGCAAAGGAUACAGCACAGCACUUUGGGUGUAUUUGUGUGCACAAGGCUCUGGGACUUGAGCACGUGCGCAGCUGACCUGUGCCUCAGAGCAGCCCCCAUUGGCCAUCAGGACACAUCGGAGCACCGAUAACACACUGACUCAUUCACUCACCUCCUGCACUUUUAGAAGUAACGCUGCAGUUAAGAGUGUGGAGUAACACCUCAUUUGCAGAGAAAUAUCCCCUACAACACAGAUGGAUGCUGCUUCUAAUCACAUGGCCUAAGUGUGAUGUUGUGAGACUGAAAUGGACAACCGACCCGUAUGAUCAGCCUUCUUUUAUGAGAACACUAUGUCAGUCCGUCACUUUAUGAUCCGAAAUUGGACGGGAAAAGUCUGAUCCUGGCCCUGCUGAAUGCAGAGAGCAGAUACAGCUUUGGAACUCCUGCCAUCACAUCCUCGACCUUUUGUGUGUCAUCAGCUUGAGACUGAAGUUUUGCUGUCCCUCCUGACCUCUCGCUGGGAGCUGAGCAGAGCAGUGCUGAGAGUGCCCAGUGCCCGGGAAGCUCUGGCUCAGUCCCUCCUGUGUCAGAGGCCUCGGUGGGCUCAGCACAUCUUUGCAGCAGCAACCAAGGGUCCCUCAGCAUCAGCUCUGGAGGACACUGACAUCCCGGUGCCCUCUGUAAGGCUGCUGUAACCUCAGCUAUGCAGAUCCUUAUGCCCUCUCUCAGCAUGCCCCCUGGGCUGCCAGGCCUCUGGUGGCUGUCGCUGACUGAUGCUGUAGAUGUGCUGCUAUAUCUAAGAGCAGCUGUCCUCACACCCCAACUGGGACAGGAGAGUACCCCACAGAAGAUGAGGAGUCUUGUGCAGCAGGACUUGUAGGUAAUGAUUCUAGACAAAAACUGAUCACCUUCAACAUUGGUUUAGCACUGGCAAAUAACCAACUGCUCCAUGCACCAUCACCACUUCCACUGUGGAGUCUAAACUCUGAAGCACAGUGGAUGUCUACUUUAAAUGCCACCUUGUUUAAAGAUAAGAAAAACUGCCACAGAACAAACUAUUCUUCCUGUCCAAAUAUAAAAUAAAAGCCAUCUUAUUUUUA